rnacentral:rRNA from 1 species
GCUCCUACGGGAGGCAGCAGUGGGGAAUAUUGGGCAAUGGGCGCAAGCCUGACCCAGCAACGCCGCGUGAAGGAAGAAGGCUUUCGGGUUGUAAGCUUCUUUUCUCAGGGACGAACAGAUAACGGUACCUGAGGAAUAAGCCACGGCUAACUACGUGCCAGCCGCCGCGGUAAUACGUAGGUGGCAAGCGUUAUCCGGAUUUACUGGGUGUAAAGGGCGUGUAGGCGGGGACGCAAGUCAGAUGUGAAAACCACGGGCU